CAGCGCCACAAGUGGGGGCCAUGUUUAUUGGGCCUAAAACGUUCGUAGCCGGUUUGGUAAAUGCCUGGGUAAAUCGUGUAGCUUAACUAUACGAAUUCCGGGUAGACUGCCAAACUUGAGACCGGGAGAAGCUAGAGGUACUCCUGGGGUAGAGGUGAAAUUCUGUAAUCCUGGGGGGACCACCAGUGGCGAAGGCGUCUAGCUAGAACGGGUCUGACGGUGAGGAACGAAGCCCUGGGGCGCAAACCGGAUUAGAUACCCGAGUAGUCC
rnacentral:rRNA from 1 species